rnacentral:rRNA from 1 species
GACGAACGCUGGCGGCGUGCUUAACACAUGCAAGUCGAACGGUGAAGCGCCUUCCUUUUUGGUGGGUGUGGAUGAGUGGCGAACGGGUGAGUAACACGUGAGUAACCUGCCCCCUUCUUCUGGAUAACCGCAUGAAAGUGUGGCUAAUACGGGAUAUUCUGGGUCUGUCGCAUGAUGGGUCUGGGAAAGAUAUUGUUUCGGUGGGGGAUGGGCUCGCGGCCUAUCAGCUUGUUGGUGGGGUGAUGGCCUACCAAGGCGGUGACGGGUAGCCGGCCUGAGAGGGUGGACGGUCACACUGGGACUGAGACACGGCCCAGACUCCUACGGGAGGCAGCAGUGGGGAAUAGUGCACAAUGGGCGCAAGCAUGAUGCAGCGACGCCGCGUGAGGGAUGGAGGCCUUCGGGUUGUGAACCUCUUUCGCCAGUGAAGCAGGCCUGCCUCGUUUGUGGGUGGGUUGACGGUAGCUGGAGAAGAAGCGCCGGCUAACUACGUG